rnacentral:rRNA from 1 species
UGGUCCACGCUGUAAACGAUGUCUACUUGGAGGUUGUUGUCUUGAAUGAUGGCUUUCGGAGCUAACGCGUUAAGUAGACCGCCUGGGGAGUACGGCCGCAAGGUUAAAACUCAAAUGAAUUGACGGGGGCCCGCACAAGCGGUGGAGCAUGUGGUUUAAUUCGAUGCAACGCGAAGAACCUCACCUGGUCUUGACAUCCUGCGAACUUUCUAGAGAUAGAUUGGUGCCUUCGGGAACGCAGUGACAGGUGCUGCAUGGCUGUCGUCAGCUCGUGUUGUGAAAUGUUGGGUUAAGUCCCGUAACGAGCGCAACCCUUAUCCUUAUUUGCCAGCACUUCGGGUGGGAACUCUAAGGAGACUGCCGGUGACAAACCGGAGGAAGGUGGGGACGACGUCAAGUCAUCAUGGCCCUUACGACCAGGGCUACACACGUGCUACAAUGGUAAGUACAGAGGGACGCGAAUCCGCGAGGUGGAGCUAAUCCCAGAAAACUUAUCGUAGUCCGGAUUGGAGUCUGCAA